GAAAAGGCCGAACAAUUGCGUAAUGUUGAGUAGAAUCGAUGGCGAGUAUUGUGAGAGUCGUUUGAGGUAAAGCUUUGGGAAACUGGAGGCGUUAACACUCACCUCGCAGUGGUGACCACAAGAAAGUAGGCCGCUUGCGAGCCACCUUUCUGAGAGAUGACUCUUUAUCAAGGUGCUACAUAGAUUGGUUACCACUUUAGUUGGAACUACAACAAGAAGACAAUAGGCUCAUGCUACCUUUGGUUGUGUUACCUCGUAUGUAUGGAUGUGAUGUGUUUACCCUGUCUAUAAUACUUAUCUCACGAUUGGGUUUACCUUUAUAUGCAAUUCAUGCUUCUUGAUAGGAUUAGAUCCAUUUAGCUAGAUAGAAAACCCUAGUUAGUUCACUACCGAUCCACGUAUUGAUAAAUCUUGGAUGGAAUACUCUAAGGGAAAACCUACAAUGAUCCGCGCGCUUGCGGUUCACAACUUGGCGUGUUAACUACCGUCAACAGCCAGUCAGGGAGGGGUGGUGCCUUGUGGAUUCGGUCGGGGAGGGGGGACAACAACAUCGGAGGCUUUAGGGUUAGGACCGAUAAAGGAAAUGAGGACUUGUGAAUUUGAAACCAAACGCUCGAUUUAUAUCUUAUGGCAAGCACAAGGUAGACGUCUACAAAGACCGUUGCUAAUGGGAAAAGUCUAAACUAGCGACGGGUCGCUCUACUGGCCGAGCGCGCGACGUGGGCCAACCUUUGCAUGGGCUACCUAAGGGAAGGCUUUGUCCUGAUGUGAGCUUGCGUGGGCGGAUGAGCAGAGGUCUCUGUCCUGGUUGGCCGAAGCCCAUCAAAGCUAAUUCAAAUGAUGGCAUUUAUACUAGUUGUUUUGCUUCUUCAAAAUAUAAUAACUUUCAUAUAGAGUGUAUGUUUUGAAUUCUGUUUGCACCGCUAUAUUUUUUAGGAUUA
rnacentral:lncRNA from 1 species